ACACCUAGAGGUACCCAUUAUCCUCGCGAGUCCCUUAGAGAGGUGAUAGUCUUAAUUAGAAGGGAGAGGGACCAGACUUGGUGAUGUGAGUGCGAGAGGGCUGGGGACGGUGCAGACCCAAUGUAGGGGUAGAGACCCACCUACUGUCCCACCAACCAGGCAAAAGAAAAGCAAAGUUGGCCUCAUGGCCAUGGCCCCUUAGCUCAUUGAAUGGCCUUGUCCCUUUUGUCUUUGAGGAAGAAGGUUUGAAGAAGAUAGAAGGUGACAUUGAUUUAUUAG
rnacentral:lncRNA from 1 species